GAUGAACGCUGGCGGCGUGCCUAAUACAUGCAAGUCGAGCGAACGGACGAGAAGCUUGCUUCUCUGAUGUUAGCGGCGGACGGGUGAGUAACACGUGGAUAACCUACCUAUAAGACUGGGAUAACUUCGGGAAACCGUAGCUAAUACCGGAUAAUAUUUUGAACCGCAUGGCUCAAAAGUGAAAGACGGUCUUGCUGUCACUUAUAGACGGAUCCGCGCUGCAUUAGCUAGUUGGUAAGGUAACGGCUUACCAAGGCAACGAUGCAUAGCCGACCUGAGAGGGUGAUCGGCCACACUGGAACUGAGACACGGUCCAGACUCCUACGGGAGGCAGCAGUAGGGAAUCUUCCGCAAUGGGCGAAAGCCUGACGGAGCAACGCCGCGUGAGUGAUGAAGGUCUUCGGAUCGUAAAACUCUGUUAUUAGGGAAGAACAUAUGUGUAAGUAACUGUGCACAUCUUGACGGUACCUAAUCAGAAAGCCACGGCUAACUACGUG
rnacentral:rRNA from 1 species